UGGGCGAAGGCCUGAUGCAGCAACGCCGCGUGAGCGAUGAAGGUCUUCGGAUCGUAAAGCUCUGUCCUCAAGGAAGAAUGUUGACGGUACUUGAGGAGGAAGCCCCGGCUAACUACGUGCCAGCAGCCGCGGUAAUACGUAGGGGGCUAGCGUUAUCCGGAAUUACUGGGCGUAAAGGGUGCGUAGGCGGUCUUGCAAGUCAGAGGUGAAAGGCUACGGCUCAACCGUAGUAAGCCUUUGAAACUGUAGGACUUGAGUGCAGGAGAGGAAAGUGGAAUUCCCAGUGUAGCGGUGAAAUGCGUAGAUAUUGGGAGGAACACCAGUUGCGAAGGCGGCUUUCUGGACUGUAACUGACGCUGAGGCACGAAAGCGUGGGGAGCGAACAGGAUUAGAUACCCUGGUAGUCCACGCCGUAAACGAUGAGUACUAGGUGUCGGGGGUUACCCCCCUCGGUGCCGCAGCUAACGCAUUAAGUACUCCGCCUGGGAAGU
rnacentral:rRNA from 1 species